GGUGCCUUCUUGGGACUGCCGACACA
rnacentral:misc_RNA from 1 species